GGGCCAUAGUUCAGUGGUAGAACAUCUGCUUUGCAUGCAGAAGGUCAAAGUUUUGAUCACUGGCAUCUCCA